rnacentral:rRNA from 1 species
GAUGAACGCUGGCGGCGUGCCUAAUACAUGCAAGUCGAGCGAACAGACGAGGAGCUUGCUCCUUCGACGUUAGCGGCGGACGGGUGAGUAACACGUAGGUAACCUACCUAUAAGACUGGGAUAACUUCGGGAAACCGGAGCUAAUACCGGAUAAUAUUUCGAACCGCAUGGUUCGAUAGUGAAAGAUGGCUUUGCUAUCACUUAUAGAUGGACCUGCGCCGUAUUAGCUAGUUGGUAAGGUAACGGCUUACCAAGGCAACGAUACGUAGCCGACCUGAGAAGGUGAUCGGCCACACUGGAACUGAGACACGGUCCAGACUCCUACGGGAGGCAGCAGUAGGGAAUCUUCCGCAAUGGGCGAAAGCCUGACGGAGCAACGCCGCGUGAGUGAUGAAGGUCUUCGGAUCGUAAAACUCUGUUAUUAGGGAAGAACAAACGUGUAAGUAACUGUGCACGUCUUGACGGUACCUAAUCAGAAAGCCACGGCUAACUACGUG